GUCGGUGUCGAUUGCACUGAGGUCCCACCCGUUCCCAUCCCGAACACGGUAGUUAAGCUCAGUUGCGCCGAAGAUACUUGGCGGGAAGCUGCCUGGGAAAAUAGGUGAUGCCGACA
rnacentral:rRNA from 1 species